UUUGAGUGAAAUCCAAUCUCUAGAACUAUACAAUACACCAACUACCCCAUUUCAGAACGAACUUCGUUGGAACCUGAAUAGUCCGAUUUCAAGGACCAGUCGAUAUCGGAUUGAGUCCAAAACUUGGGGAACAUCAUAAUAUUGUGGGAGGAGUCAUUUGGUGGCUUUUGAGUGAAAUCCAAUCUUUAGAACUAUACAAUACACCAACCACCCCAUUUCAGAACGAACUUCGUACGAACCUGAAUUGUCCAAUUUCAAGGACCAACAGAUAUCGGAUUGAGUCCGAAACUUGGGGAACAUCAUAAUAUUGGGGAGUUGUCAUUUGGUGGGUUUUGAGUGAAAUCCAAUCCCUAGAACUAUACAAUACACCAAAAACUUCAUUUCAGAAAAAACUUGUUGAGCCUAUUGUUAACAACUAAAAUGAGUUAUUAAAAACAGCAACUUUAAUUCUCGCAAGUGCACGAACCGUUUAUAGUAUAGCUUAUGUAAAUACGAGGUCGAUCCCACGGAGAAUGGUAACUUGGUUCCAAGUUAAAUUACUUAGAAUGUUAGAAAAAUAUAGAACAAAGAAACUGACUAACUAGCUAAAGGCAUGGUCGAAUUCAACAAUGCCUCUUGCUAAUUACUCAAGGUCUAGGACAGAAUCCUAGCACCACACACGCACUCGAAAUGGGGGGUUUUUUUGUUGAAAUGAAAACAAGAAAGUGAAAUGAAAGUGCUCGAAAGUGAACACUGGCAGCAAUCAACAAGUUGUGAAACAAUGAUUGAGAGGUGUUAGAGCCUUGGAAUCCACCACUAGUUUUCCUAUCCAAGUUAUGAAUGCAUAGAAAUUGACUCAAGCUUCAUUAGCAAUAGAUUAUCGCAUACAAGCCUAUGGUAUCUAGGUGCAGGAUGCAUGAUUCUCCUAAGGCAUGUGAUUAUGCAUGGUAUCUACACAACACGUGAUCUCUAAUAUGCAACCUAAGCAUGGUAUCUACUUAGAAUAAAGCAUACAAGAGUCAUUAAGCUCCUUGAGAAUAUGAUAAUCACACAAGUCCUAGAACAUGGUAUCUGUCCUAGUCAACCUAUGGUUAUUAACCCCUUGAAUGAUUCUUAGGCCAUUCAUGUGUUGCUUGUGAAAGGAGAGUAGAAUUGGUGAAUCUAAACCCCUUCCCAACCUGUGCUAGAUGCAUAAAAUCCUAGUUAGCUACUCCAAGAGAACAUACAUCAAGCACAUAAUAAACUAGAGAUUAACAACUUAAUAAUAAAAGCAAGGAAAUCAAUUAACUAUAAAAUCAUCCAUAACAUUGAAUAUUCAUGACUAGGGCUUCACCCUAAGCCCUAACUAAAUGGAUUAGUUAGACAUAACUAUGAAUACAGAAAAUAAGAAAUACAUAGAUAGGAUAAAGAGACGAGAAGAACUAGAUGAUGGGAGCAAGGAAGUUCCCAGGACAGCUCCAAGCUCCCUUCUCUCUUUGUGGUGAAUCUGAAUGUGUAUAUGAAAGUAAUGGAUGAAAUGAAUGUGUGUGUCUGCCCUCUCUCCCCUUGAAAGAGUGUGCAACUCUCUAUUUAUAGAGUGCAAUUUCGUGCUCCCCUUUGGCUGGUGAAGCACACCUCUCUUAGCUGCUGCCAACUGCUCUAGCUGCCCAUACAUGCCUGUUGCUCCAGCUGCCCAUACUUGCCUGUUGCUCCAGCUGCCCAUACUUGCCUGUUGGACUUUUCUUGGUUUUUGAGUUCCCAUACUGAUUUGUCUCCCAUGUGUGGCUGCUCUAAUGUGUAGCACAUGGCUCUAGGGAUGUAGCCACAUUAAAUAUGAUGGCAGCCAACAUGACAUUUCUGCGAACUUGGUUCAGUCUUUGACGUGUUGAGGGCUCCAGUUGUAUCCAAUUGGGCUGAACUUUGGAUAUGUUAUAAUAGACGCCCAUUGGAACAACGUCUAUGAAGGAUGUCUCCUCAUCUGACCUGUGUAAGUUACUGAAAUGAGGCCUGCAAGAUGACCUACGAAACUGGACUGACAAGGAGUGUGGCACAAAUUGGUUUUGUCUUUAAGCUCAUAUUCCACUUGUGCCACUCAGCCCUUAACAUGCAUGAAUUGUAUCAAAUGUCAUCCCCUUGCUAUAUUAACCUACAAAGCACACAAACAUAGGUAAGAGACUCAAAAUAAAGAGAAGCUAACAAAAUUACUAAGGAAAGAAGGCAUGCAAAUGUGUGAAAUUAUGAACUUAUCAAAUACCCCAAAACUUAGAUUUUGCUAGUCCUCGAGCAAAACAAAAUAAAACUACAACUUAGGAAACAGGAAAUAAGCAACUAGCCUUCCAAACAAUAUCCUCAAAGAAUCAUCAGUGUAAAUGGUUCCAAAGAAACACAACAAUCACAAUCUAAGUUCCACACAUGAUUCACGAGAAAGCAAAGCUAGCAUUGACACCCUUAAGUGUAGUGUGUGAAUGCCAAAUCCGAACAACACCUGCAUCUCAAAUAAGUACAUGUGCACACACUUAGAGCAAAAUCAAGAAUUCCGAACCCCAUAAGCUCAUUAUCCAAUCUGCUCUCCACAGUAAUACCAUGCAACACCAAGGAUCAAAAGGACUUUACAAGGGUAGUAAUGAGGUUUAGGGUAGUGGUUGAAUGAAAGAAGGGAUAUGAGAUAUACAAUAUUUUGAGCACACUUAAAGCACAGGUAAGAGCAUAAGAGAGUACUGAACUUUGUAACAAGCAAGGAACACAUACAUGAGCAGAUUUUCAACAUAAUUUCAGCACCUUGAAAUGUGUUUAUUUGGCCUAAUUUUGUGGCUCUUUACCCUAGAUCACAAUGAUGUUCUCCUUAUAACACCCUAGGGCCGUGACUACAUUGGUCACACUUCAUUACCUCUUUUGAUUAGUUACCAAUACCCCCAAACUUAUUUCUUUUCAACACUUGGGUUACGGCACCAAUUAUUCACUUUUGCUCUAUAAACCUUGCAUUCUUUAUAACUCUCUUUUGAAGAUAACUUUAAUUGCUCAUACAAUAAGUAAGGAUAAGAAAACAGAGGCUCAUUAUGGUAGGAUUCAUUUACACAAAGAAAGGCUUAACGUAGGCUCAAAUGGGAUGACUAGGGAUGAAUACAUGUAGAGGGAUGGUUAGAAAGGCUCAAACGGUUCAAACAUGGCCUAAAUCACUUCCUAAGCAUUGUAUGGCAACAAAAUGUCUCAAGAAAUAUUCAAAUAAGUUCUAGAGUACGAAACCAAGAUCAUGAGAUAACUAGAAUUGCAUAACGUCUCUAAGUAGCAAGAUGUUGGACUAACUUGGCAAAGUGCUCAAUAAGUGCAAGGAUGGCAUGCAGGACAAAGUUAACUUAGAAUCACACGCAGACCUUAAACAAUGACUAUCAAUUUCUGAAAAACCAUAAUAGUAUUAAAUCUAAGUCUUUAUCAUAGGUGUUUGGAAGGAUAACGAAACAACACACAAAAUCCUGCGUUUUUAGACAGUAGACACACUCAAAAAUUUUAAAAUUUGACAAUUUGAAACAGCAUAACUAAAUCCUUCCCCCCAAACUUAAAUGAAACAUUGUCCUCAAUGUUUAGAGUGUAAGAAAAAGCAAUGCCUCAUUAAUGAAAGGAAAGAAGACAAGGGAAAGACAUAACCAAAGGUUAGAUUUCAGAAAAACUCCCCUUUGAAGCGAUUAGGAUGCAAGCAAGCUUCCUCGCAUAUUCUAUCUUCUCCUCAUCACCUUGGGUUGCCUCCCAAGAAGCGCUAAGUUUCACGUCGUCAGCCGGACGUCCAAACUCUGGUGAGCUUUAAGAGAGUGGUGGAGGCUCCUUGAGUGCUUGAGACUCAAUAUUGGCAUCAAAGUUGGCAUCGAAGUAAGGUUUCAACCGAUGUCCAUUCACCUUGAAGGUGCUGCCAUCCUUAAUGUUUUGAAUCUCCACUGCGCCAUGAUUAAACACAUUAGUAAUAACAAAAGGGCCAAUCCACCGAGAACAAAGCUUACCUGGGAAGAGCUUAAGGCGUGAAUUGAAUAAGAGAACCUUCUGCCCUUUCUCAAACGUCUUCCUAAGAAUUUUCUUGUCGUGAUAUUGCUUUGUUUUCUCCUUGUAAAGCUUCGCAUUCUUAUACGCUUCAUGUCUCAACUCCUCCAGCUCAUUGAGUUGAAGCCUCCUCUUCUCACCAGCGGCUUUCAUAUCAAAAUUGAAGGCCUUGAUUGCCCAAUAAGCCCUGUGCUCAAGCUCCACUGGUAAGUGACAAGGUUUACCGAAAAUAAGUCUAUACGGAGACAUACCUAUAGGGGUCUUAUAAGCAGUCCUAUAAGCCCACAAUGCAUCAUCCAAACGCAUGGACCAAUCCUUCCUUGUGGUGUUCACUGUCUUUUCAAGUAUGUACUUAAUCUCCCUAUUGCUUAUAUCAACCUGCCCACUAGUUUGAGGAUGAUAGGGUGUUGCCACCUUAUGCGUGAUUCCAUAUCUCUUCAAGAGUGCUGCAAAAGCUUGGUUAACAAAGUGGGAGCCACCAUCACUAAUGAUUGCUCUAGGUGUGCCAAACCUUGUAAAAAUAUUUCCUUUGAGAAAACCGAUCACAACUUUAGCAUCAUUAGUUCUAGUGGCAAUGGCUUCCACCCAUUUAGAAACAUAAUCGACAGAAACUAAUAUAUAUUCAAAUCCAUAAGAGGUAGGAAAAGGGCCCAUGAAAUCAAUUCCCCAAACAUCAAAUAUAUCAAUGAUUAAGAUAUUGGUGAGAGGCAUCUGGUUUCUAGCAUGUAAAUUACCCAUCCGUUGGCAUCUAUCACAUGAAGCACAAAAAACAUAAGCAUCCUUAAAAAGGGUAGGCCAAAAGAAACCUGAUUGUAGCACCUUGCUGGCAGUCUUCUUUGCUCCAAAAUGGCCUCCGCAUGCGUGGGAGUGACAAAACUCCAGAAUGCUCUUAAAAUCACCUUCAGGCACACACCUUCGAAUUACUUGGUCUGGACAAUGCUUGAAUAGAUAGGGAUCAUCCCAAAAGUAGUAUCUUGCUUGCUUCCUAAGCUUGUCACGUUGGAACGUAGAUAACCCUGUAGGGAGUUCGUUAGUGCACAAAUAGUUAACAAUAUCAGCAAACCAAGGCAAUGGAUUGAGAGAAUUCAAAGCACAAAUGGAGAAGAGUUGCUCAUCAGGGAAGCUUUCACGCAAUGGCAAUGAAUCCUCCUCUUCGUUAGAUACAUGCACCAAUCUACUCAAGUGAUCAGCCACGACAUUCUCACUUCCUUUCUUAUCUUUUAUCUCCAAGUCAAACUCUUGCAACAAGAGAAUCCAUCUAAUGAGUCGCGGUUUGGCAUCCUUCUUAGCUAACAAGUAUUUCAAUGCUGCAUGAUCAGUGUAAACAAUAACCUUGUUAGUAAUCAAAUAUGAUCUAAACUUCUCUAAAGCAAAUAUGACGGCUAACAACUCCUUCUCUGUGGUGGAAUAGUUGAGUUGGGCAUCGUUGAGGGUUCUACUAGCAUAGUAGAUGGCAUGUGGCUUCUUAUCAACUCGCUGUCCCAAAACAGCUCCAACAACAUAAUCUGAGGCAUCACACAUCAAUUCAAAGGGCAAGCUCCAAUCCGGUGGUAUAAUGACUGGGGCAGUUGUGAGCAUCUUCUUCAAAGCAUUGAAAGCAUUCUCACAGUCUUGAUCAAACACAAAAUCCAUGUCCUUGGCAAGGAGAUUGCACAUAGGCCUUGCAAUCUUAGAAAAAUCCUUAAUGAAACGCCUAUAGAAACCUGCAUGGCCAAGGAAAGAACGUACUUCUUUGACAGAAGUAGGUGAGGGCAUAGAGGCAAUCAAAUCAAUCUUAGCUUUAUCUACCUCAAUUCCUUUACUAGAGAUGACAUGACCAAGAACUAUGCCUUGGUUAACAAUAAAAUGACAUUUUUCCCAAUUAAGCACAAGGUUAGUAUGUUCACAUCUAGCCAACACCUUGGAUAAGUUAUGCAAGCAUUGAUCAAAAGAAUCACCAAAGACAGAGAAGUCAUCCAUGAAUACCUCAAUGAACCUUUCUACCAUGUCGGAGAAAAUGCUCAUCAUGCACCUUUGAAAAGUGGCUGGGGCGUUACAGAGACCAAAAGGCAUCCUCCUAUAGGCGAAAGUGCCAAAGGGACAUGUGAACGUGGUCGAUCCGCAGGCCGUGCAGCUAUGGCGAUUUGGUUGUAGCCUGAAUAUCCAUCAAGGAAGCAAUAGUGGCUAUGCCCAGCUAAUCUCUCAAGCAUUUGAUCAAUGAAUGGAAGAGGAAAGUGAUCUUUGCUUGUUGCUGUGUUGAGCUUCCUAUAAUCAAUGCAAACUCUCCAGCCCGUGGUCAUCCGUGUAGGUACAAGCUCGUUUGCUUCAUUCUUCACCACUGUGAUACCUGACUUCUUGGGGACAACUUGCACUGGGCUCACCCAUUGACUGUCAGAAAUAGGGUAAAUAAUACCAACAUUUAAAAGCUUCAUUACCUCUUUUCUUACCACCUCCUUCAUGUUUGGAUUGAGACGUCUUUGGGCAUCCCUCUUAGGCAUUGCAUUGUCUUCCAAUAAUAUCUUGUGCAUGCACAGUGUUGGGCUUAUGCCUUUGAUAUUUGCAAUGCUCCACCCAAUCGCAGUUUUGUGCUCUUUUAGAACUCUCAAAAGCUUCUUUUCAUCAUUUGGUCCGAGAUGUGAGGCAAUGAUAACAGGUAGAGUCUCAUUUUCACCUAAAUAAGCAUAUUUAAGGUGUUUUGGCAAUUGCUUUAAUUCCAACUCUGGUGCCUGCACAAUAGAAGGUAAAACCUUAUUAGUAGGUGGGGGUAAUGAUUCAAAUUGGUUUGCAUACCUCUUUCCAAUUUCUAUGUAGCUAUCCAUGCUGCAAACAAGCUCAAGAAGUAAAAAGAUCACAGCCUCAAAGCUGUCCACUUCUUCUUUCCUUAUGCUUUGUGUGAUGCAUGCUUCAAUGGGCUCCAAAUAACUCAUUGGCAGUGCUUCUUUCACCAUAGUAUCAAUUGCAUCAAGAUGGAAAACUUCAUGCUCAUCACUUGGAAACUUGGAGGCUUCAAACACUUUGAAUGCUAUUGUCUCAUCAAACACAUUCAUGGUCAAUGUACCCUUCUUCACAUCAAUAAUAGCACCGGCAGUUGCCAUGAAUGGCCGACCUAGAAUGAGUGGUAACUGAUUGUCAUGAAUUGGUGCUUCUUCCAUCUCCAACACCAAGAAAUCUGCUGGCAAAAUUAGCUCUUCCACUUUCACCAAAACAUCUUCUAGAAUGCCCUUAGGGUACCUAAUAGUUCUAUCUGCCAAUUGAAUGCUCACAGAUGUGGCUUGCAACUCACCAAGGUUAAGUUUCUCAUAAACAUGAUAUGGCAUAAGAUUUAUAGAAGCACCAAGAUCAAGCAAAGCUUUUUGAAACUUAAAAUCACCAACUAUGCAAGGUAUAGAAAACGAACCUGGAUCCUUUAGCUUUGGAGGCAGGUUUCUUUGUAACACUGCACUUACCUCUUCACUCAAUGCAACUUGUUCAUGCUCUUUGAAUCUCCUCUUGUUAGUGCAUAGAUCCUUCAAAAAAUUUGCAUACUUUGGAAUCUGAGUAAUGGCAUUGAGCAAUGGGAUGUUGAUUUGCACCUUCUUGAAUGUUUCCAUUAUCUCAUCCAAGCCUUGAUCUUUCUUUGACUUUGAUAACCUGCUGGGAAAGGGUGCAAUAGGCCUAAAAGCAUUAGUUGAAAUUGGAACUUGAUUAGCAUUAGAUGAUACCUUAGGGCCUGUGCUCUUUCCAGGAGCAUUGAUGGACUGAUUGUUGGAAGCUGUGGGCUGCCCAUGUGGUGGCUGAAUGAUCUCCACGUUUUCUCCAUCUUCUUGUUCUUCAUUGGCAUCUCCAACCUUAUUAUCAACUUGUUUACCACUUCUCAAGAUGUGUACUGCUUUAGCAUGCUCUUGAUGCCUUGGAUUCACCUCCGUUUGGCUUGGGAAAGUUCCGGAUGCUCUAUUGCUCAUGGAGGAUGCAAUCUGCCCAACUUGCACUUCUAGUUUGUUCACUGCAUUUUGAAGAUUCUGAUUGGUUUGCAUCUGUUGCCCCAUGAACUUCUUGAACAUGUCUUGCAAUUCUCCCAUUUGAUCACCCCUUUGCUCUUGCACUUGUUGCGGAGCUUGUUGGAAUUGCCUUUGUUGUGUUUGGAAUCCUGGGGGAGGUCCUUGAGAUUGUUGCACAUUUGAAUUGUUGCUCCACCUGAAAUUAGGAUGAUUUCUCCACCCCGGAUUGUAUGUGUUUGAGUAAGGAUCAUUAUUAGGAUUCCUUGCUUGAAGGGAAUUUGCUUGUUCUAGCAUGUGCUCCGCAAAAGAUUGGUCUACAAACUUCCACUUUGUUUCCUAGAGGGCCAGUCACUGCCUGUUGAAGCAAAGAACACAUAACAUCAAGUUUUGCAGCAAUUUCAUUAUUAGUACUUACCUCAGAGACCACAGCUUUCAUAGGAGCUCCUCUUCCUUUAUUGUGGCUCCAUUGUUGAGAGUUAGCACUCAAGGAUUCAAAGAGAGUAAAAGCCUCAUCUGCUGUUUUGUUCAUCAGUCCUUCUCCACUUGUUGAAUCUACCAUCAUCCUUUCGGAAUCAAGUAAACCUUCAUAGAAAGAUUGCAUUUGCAUCCAACUCUCUAUGUUGUGGUGUGGGCAAGAACUUAUCAUCUCCUUGUACCUCUCCCAACAUUCAUGAAAAGCUUCUCCUUCCUUUUGUGUGAAACCAAGAAUUUCCUUUCUAAUCUUGUUAGUCUUUUGAGCCGGAAAAAAUUUCUGCAAAAACUUAUUAGAAAGCUCUUCCCAAGUAUGAAUUGAAGCAUUAGGAAAAGAGUAUAACCAAGACUUAGCUUUAUCUUUUAAACUGAAUGGGAAUAGCCUCAUCUUAAUCUGCUCAUCAUCAAGGUUUUGAAUUUUGAUCGUAGCACAUAUUUCAAAGAAUUGCUUAAUAUGCAUGUAAGGAUCCUCAGUGGUAUUACCAUAAUAAGUUGGAAGAAGAUGAAUCAUACCACUUUUAAGCUCAAACCUGUCAACUGUGAGUUGAGGAUAGACGAUGCAUAAAGGUUGAUCGGUGACUUUGGGAAUGGAAAACUCACGCAGGGAUUUUCUUGGUUGGACAACAAGCACACCACCUCCUUCAUCAUUGUUGUUGUUCGAAAUCUCUACCAUGUUGCUUGAACCUUCAGAUUCGUAACUUUUAGAUUCAACGCUUGAAGAACUAUAGUUCUUCCUCAAACCAGCAUGCACAGCAGCGGUUCUUGGUGAAAGUGGCUCAGGUGAACUUUGCUCCUGGUCAGAUUCGGACAUGCACACACCAAGGAAGUCAAUUCAGUGCCUUCAAUGGAGAUAACAACAAAAUACAAAACUGAAUACUAAAAGAAAAACCAACGAAAAGAAACAAAUGAAAUAAACAAAAACAAAACAAUCAAAGUAAUCUAACUAUAGCACCAUCAUUACCGGUUCCCCGGCAACGGCGCCAAAAACUUGUUGAGCCUAUUGUUAACAACUAAAAUGAGUUAUUAAAAACAGCAACUUUAAUUCUCGCAAGUGCACGAACCGUUUAUAGUAUAGCUUAUGUAAAUACGAGGUCGAUCCCACGGAGAGUGGUAACUUGGUUCCAAGUUAAAUUACUUAGAAUGUUAGAAAAAUAUAGAACAAAGAAACUGACUAACUAGCUAAAGGCAUGGUCGAAUUCAACAAUGCCUCUUGCUAAUUACUCAAGGUCUAGGACAGAAUCCUAGCACCACACACGCACUCGAAAUGGGGGGUUUUGUUGUUGAAAUGAAAACAAGGAAGUGAAAUGAAAGUGCUCGAAAGUGAACACUGGUAGCAAUCAACAAGUUGUGAAACAAUGAUUGAGAGGUGUUAGAGCCUUGGAAUCCACCACUAGUUUUCCUAUCCAAGUUAUGAAUGCAUAGAAAUUGACUCAAGCUUCAUUAGCAAUAGAUUAUCGCAUACAAGCCUAUGGUAUCUAGGUGCAGGAUGCAUGAUUCUCCUAAGGCAUGUGAUUAUGCAUGGUAUCUACACAACACGUGAUCUCUAAUAUGCAACCUAAGCAUGGUAUCUACUUAGAAUAAAGCAUACAAGAGUCAUUAAGCUCCUUGAGAAUAUGAUAAUCACACAAGUCCUAGAACAUGGUAUCUGUCCUAGUCAACCUAUGGUUAUUAACCCCUUGAAUGAUUCUUAGGCCAUUCAUGUGUUGCUUGUGAAAGGAGAGUAGAAUAGGUGAAUCUAAACCCCUUCCCAACCUAUGCUAGAUGCAUAAAAUCCUAGUUAGCUACUCCAAGAGAACAUACAUCAAGCACAUAAUAAACUAGAGAUUAACAACUUGAUAAUAAAAGCAAGGAAAUCAAUUAACUAUAAAAUCAUCCAUAACAUUGAAUAUUCAUGACUAGGGCUUCAUCCUAAGCCCUAACUAAAUGGAUUAGUUAGACAUAACUAUGAAUACAGAAAAUAAGAAAUACAUAGAUAGGAUAAAGAGACGAGAAGAACUAGAUGAUGGGAGCAAGGAAGUUCCCAGGACAGCUCCAAGCUCCCUUCUCUCUUUGUGGUGAAUCUGAAUGUGUGUAUGAAAGUAAUGGAUGAAAUGAAUGUGUGUGUCUGCCCUCUCUCCCCUUGAAUGAGUGUGCAACUCUCUAUUUAUAGAGUGCAAUUUCGUGCUCCCCUUUGGCUGGUGAAGCACACCUCUCUUAGCUGCUGCCAACUGCUCUAGCUGCCCAUACAUGCCUGUUGCUCCAGCUGCCCAUACUUGCCUGUUGGACUUUUCUUGGUUUUUGAGUUCCCAUACUGAUUUGUCUCCCAUGUGUGGCUGCUCUAAUGUGUAGCACAUGGCUCUAGGGAUGUAGCCACAUUAAAUAUGAUGGCAGCCAACACGAUAUUUCUGUGAACUUGGUUCAGUCUUUGACGUGUUGAGGGCUCCAGUUUUAUCCAAUUGGGCUGAAAUUUGGAUAUGUUAUAAUAGACACCCAUUGGAACAACGUCUAUGAAGGAUGUCUCCUCAUCCGACCUGUGUAAGUUACUGAAAUGAGGCCUGCAAGAUGACCUACGAAACUGGACUGACAAGGAGUGUGGCACAAAUUGGUUUUGUCUUUAAGCUCAUAUUCCUCUUGUGCCACUCAGCCCUUAACAUGCAUGAAUUGUAUCAAAUGUCAUCCCCUUGCUAUCUUAACCUACAAAGCACACAAACAUAGGUAAGAGACUCAAAAUAAAGAGAAGCUAACAAAAUUACUAAGGAAAGAAGGCAUGCAAAUGUGUGAAAUUAUGAACUUAUCAAAUACCCCCAAACUUAGAUUUUGCUAGUCCUCGAGCAAAACAAAAUAAAACUACAACUUAGGAAACAGGAAAUAAGCAACUAGCCUUCCAAACAAUAUCCUCAAAGAAUCAUCAGUGUAAAUGGUUCGAAAGAAACACAACAAUCACAAUCUAAGUUCCACACAUGAUUCACGAGAAAGCAAAGCUAGCAUUGACACCCUUAAGUGUAGUGUGUGAAUGCCAAAUCCGAACAACACCUGCAUCUCAAAUAAGUACAUGUGCACACACUUAGAGCAAAAUCAAGAAUGCCGAACCCCAUAAGCUCAUUAUUCAAUCUGCUCUCCAUAGUAAUACCAUGCAACACCAAGGAUCAAAAGGAGUUUACAAGGGUAGUAAUGAGGUUUAGGGUAGUGGUUGAAUGAAAGAAGGGAUAUGAGAUAUACAAUAUUUUGAGCACACUUAAAGCACAGGUAAGAGCAUAAGAGAGUACUGAACUUUGUAACAAGCAAGGAACACAUACAUGAGCAGAUUUUCAACAUAAUUUCAGCACCUUGAAAUGUGUUUAUUUGGCCUAAUUUUGUGGCUCUUACCCUAGAUCACAUUGAAAUGUGNNNNNNNNNNNNNNNNNNNNNNNNNNNNNNNNNNNNNNNNNNNNNNNNNNNNNNNNNNNNNNNNNNNNNNNNNNNNNNNNNNNNNNNNNNNNNNNNNNNNNNNNNNNNNNCUCCUCGCUCAUUGCGACAGUAGUGUAUUUCAACACUUGGGUUACGGCACCAAUUAUUCACUUUUGCUCAAUAAACCUUGCAUUCUUUAUAACUCUCUUUUGAAGAUAACUUUAAUUGCUCAUACAAUAAGUAAGGAUAAGAAAACAGAGGCUCAUUAUGGUAGGAUUCGUUUACACAAAGAAAGGCUUAACAUAGGCUCAAAUGGGAUGACUAGGGAUGAAUACAUGUAGAGGGAUGGUUAGAAAGGCUCAAACGGUUCAAACAUGGCCUAAAUCACUUCCUAAGCAUUGUAUGGCAACAAAAUGUCUCAAGAAAUAUUCAAAUAAGUUCUAGAGUACGAAACCAAGAUCAUGAGAUAAGUCCGAUUUCAAGGACCAAUCGAUAUCAGAACGAACUUCGUUGGAACCUGAAUAGUCCGAUUUCAAGGACCAAUCGAUAUCGGAUUGAGUCCAAAACUUGGGGAACAUCAUAAUAUUGUGGGAGGAGUCAUUUGGUGGCUUUUGAGUGAAAUCCAAACUUUAGAACUAUACAAUACACCAACCACCCCAUUUCAGAACGAACUUCGUACGAACCUGAAUUGUCCGAUUUCAAGGACCAAUCGAUAUCGGAUUGAGUCCAAAACUUGGGGAACAUCAUAAUAUUGUGGGAGUUGUCAUUUGGUGGGUUUUGAGUGAAAUCCAAUCCCUAGAACUAUACAAUACACCAAAAACUUCAUUUCAGAACGAACUUCGUACGAACUUGAAUUGUCUGAUUUCAUGGACCAUUCGAUAUCAGAUUGAGUCCAAAACUUGGGGGACAUCAUAGUAUUGUGGGAGGAGUCAUUUGGUGGCUUUUGGGUGAAAUCCAAUCCAGACAACUAUAAAAUACACCGACCACUCCAUUUCAGAACGACCUUCAUACGAACUUGAACUGUCAGAUUUCAUUGACUAAUCGAUAUCGGAUUGAGUCCAAAACUUGGGGAACACCAUAAUAUUAUGGGAGGAGUCAUUUGGUGGGUUUUGAGUGAAAUCCAAUCUCUAGAACUAUACAAUACACCGACCACCCCAUUUCAGAACAAACUUCGUACGAACCUGAAUUGUCCGAUUUCAAGGACCAAUCGAUAUCGGAUUGAGUCCAAAACUUGGGGAACAUCAUAAUAUUGUGGGAGGAGUCAUUUGGUGGGUUUUGAGUGAAAUCCAAUCCCUAGAACUAUACAAUACACCAACCACCCCAUUUCAAAACGAACUUCGUACGAAACUGAAUUGUCUGAUUUCAUUGACCAAUUGAUCACAGAUUGAGUCCAAAACUUGGGGAACAUCAUAAUAUUGUGGGAGGAGUCAUUUGGUAAGUUUUCAGUGCAAUACAAUCCCUAGAACUAUACAAUACACCAACCACUCCAUUUCAGAACGAACUUCGUACAAACCUGAAUUGUCAAAUUUCGUGGACCACUCGAUAUCCGAUUGAGUCCGAAACUUGGGGAACAUCAUAAUAUUGUGGGAGGAGUCAUUUGGUGGGUUUGAGUGAAAUCCAAUCUCUAGAACUANNNNNNNNNNNNNNNNNNNNNNNNNNNNNNNNNNNNNNNNNNNNNNNNNNNNNNNNNNNNNNNNNNNNNNNNNNNNNNNNNNNNNNNNNNNNNNNNNNNNUGGGGAACAUCAUAAUAUUGUGGGAGGAGUCAUUUGGUGGGUUUCGAGUGAAAUCCAAUCUCUAGAACUAUACAACACACCAACCACCCCAUUACAGAACGAACUUAGUAGGAACCUGAUUUGUCCGAUUUCAAGGACCAAUAGAUAUAGGAUUGACUCCAAAACUUGGGGAACAUCAUAAUAUUGUGGGAGGAGUCAUUUGGUGUGUUUUUAGUGAAAUCCAUUCUCUAGAACUAUACAAUACACCAACCACCCCAUUUCAGAAGGAACUUCGUACGAGCCUGAAUUGUCCGAUUUCAAGGACAAAUCGAUAUCGGAUUGAGUCCAAAACUUGGGGAACAUCAUAAUAUUGUGGGAGGAGUCAUUUGGUGGGUUUUGAGUGAAAUUCAAUCUCUAGAAUGAUACAAUACACCAACCACCCCAUUUCAGAAUGAACUUCGUACGAAUCUGAAUUGUCAGAUUUCAAGGUCCAAUCGAUAUCGGAUUGAGUCCAAAAAUUGGGGAACAUCAUAAUAUUGUGGGAGUUGUCAUUUGGCGGGUUUUGAAUGAAAUCCAAUCCCUAGAACUAUCCAAUACACCAACCCCUCCACUUCAGAAGGAACUUCAUACGAACUUGAAUUGUCAAAUUUCGUAGACCAAUCGAUAUCGGAUUGUGUCCAAAACUUGGGGAACAUCAUAAUAUUGUGGGAGCCGUCAUUUGGUGGGUUUUGAGUGAAAUCCAAUCUUUAGAACUAUACAAUACACCAACCACUCCAUUUCAUAACGAACUUCGUACUAACCUGCAUUCUCAAAUUUCGUGGACUGAUCGAUAUCGGAUUGAGUCCAAAACUUGGGGAACAUUAUAAUAUUGUGGGAGGAGUCACUUGGUGGGUUUUGAGUGAAAUCCAAUCUCUAGAACUAUACAAUACACCAACCACCCCAUUUCAGAAUGAACUUCGUAGGAACCUGAAUUGUCCGAUUUGAAGGACCAAUCGACAUCGGAUUGAGUCCAAAACUUGGGGAACAUCAUAAUAUUGUGGGAGGAGUCAUUUGGUAAGUUUUGAGUGAAAUACAAUCCCUAGAACCAUACAAUACACCACCCACUACAUUUCAGAACGAACUUCGUACGAACUUGAAUUGUCAAAUUUCGUGGACCGAUCGAUAUCGGAUUGAGUCCAAAACUUGGGGAGCAUAAUAAUCUUGUGGGAGGAGUCAUUUGGGGGGUUUUGAGUGAAAUCCAUUCUCUAGAACCAUACAAUACACCAACCACCCCAUUUCAGAACGAACUUCGUACGAACCUGAAUUGUCCGAUUUGAAGGACCAAUCGAUAUCGGAUUGAGUCCAAAACUUGGGGAACAACAUAAUAUUGUGGGAGGAGUCAUUUGGUUCGUUUUGAUUGAAAUCCAAUCUCUAGAACUAUACAAUACACCAACCACCCCAUUUCAGAACGAACUUCGUAGGAACCUGAAUUGUCCGAUUUCACGGACCAAUCGAUAUCGGAUUGAGUCCAAAACUUGGGGAACAUCAUAAUAUUGUUGGAGGAGUCAUUUGGUGGGUUUUGAGUGAAAUCCAAUCUCUAGAAUUAUACAAUACACCAACCACCCCAUUUCAGAACGAACUUCGUACGAACCUGAANNNNNNNNNNNNNNNNNNNNNNNNNNNNNNNNNNNNNNNNNNNNNNNNNNNNNNNNNNNNNNNNNNNNNNNNNNNNNNNNNNNNNNNNNNNNNNNNNNNNNNNNNNNNNNNNNNNNNNNNNNNNNNNNNNNNNNNNNNNNNNNNNNNNNNNNNNNNNNNNNNNNNNNNNNNNNNNUAAGGACCAAUCGAUAUCGGAUCAGUCCAAAACUUGGGGAACAUCAUAAUAUUGUGGAGGGAGCCAUUUGGUAAUUUUUGAGUGAAAUACAUUCCCAAGAACUAUACAAUUCACCACCCAGUCAAUUUCAGAACGAAAUUGAUGGGAACUUGAAUAUUCAAAUUUCAUGGACCAAUUAAUAUCGGAUUGAUUCCAAAACUUGGGGAAAAUCAUAAUUUGUUGGGGGUAGUCAUUUGGGGGGUUUUGAGUGAAAUCCAUUCUCUGGAACUAUCCAAUACACCAACCACCCCAUUUCAGAAGGAAUUUGGUACGAACCUGAAUGUCCGAUUUGAAGGACCAAUCGAUAUCGGAUUGAGUCAAAAACUUGGGGAACACCAUAAUAUUGUGGGAGGAGUCAUUUGGUUCGUUUUGAGUGAAAUCCAAUCUCUAGAAUUAUACAAUACACCAACCACCCCAUUUCAGAAUGAACUUCGUAGGAACCUGAAUUGUCCGAUUUCAAGGAGCAAUCGAUAUCGGAUUGAGUCCAAAACUUGGGGAACAUCAUAAUCUUGUGGGACGAGUCAUUUGGUGGGUUCUGAGUGAAAUCCAAUCUUUAGAACUAUACAAUACACCAACCACCCCAUUUCAGAAUGAACUUCGUCGGAACCUGAAUUGUCCGAUUUUAAGGACCAAUCGAUAUCGGAUUGAGUCCAAAACUUGGGGAACAUCAUAAUAUUGUGGAAGGAACCAUUUGGUAAGUUUUGAGUGAAAUACAAUCCCCAGAACUAUACAAUUCACCACCCACUCAAUUUCAGAACGAACUUCGUGCGAACUUGAAUUGUCAAAUUUCGUGGACCGAUCGAUAUCGGAUUGAGUCCAAAACUUGGGGAGCAUCAUAAUCUUGUGGGAUUAGUCAUUUGGGGGGUUUUGAGUGAAAUCCAUUCUCUAGAACUAUACAAUACACCAACCACCCCAUUUCAGAACGAACUUCGUACGAACCUGAAUGUCCGAUUUGAAGGACCAAUCGAUAUCGGAUUGAGUCCAAAACUUGGGGAACACCAUAAUAUUGUGGGAGGAGUCAUUUGGUUCAUUUUGAGUGAAAUCCAAUCUCUAGAAUAUACAAUACACCAACCACCCCAUUUCAGAAUGAACUUCGUACGAACCUGAAUUGUCCAAUUUCAAGGACCAAUCGAUAUCGGAUGAGUACAAAAGUUGGGGAACGUCAUAAUAUUGUGGGAGGAGUCAUUUGGUGGGUUUUGAGUGAAAUACAAUCUCUAGACCUAUACAAUACACCAACCACCCCAUUUCAGAACGAACUUCGUACGAACCUGAAUUGUCCGAUUUCAAGGACCAAUCGAUAUCGGAUUGAGUCCAAAACUUGGGGAACAUCAGAAUAUUGUGGGAGCAGUCAUUUGGUGCGUUUUGAGUGAAAUCCAAUCUUUAGAACUAUACAAUACACCAACCACCUCAUUUCAGAACGAACUUCGUACGAACCUGAAUUGUCCAAUUUCAAGGACCAAUCGAUAUCGGACUGAGUACAAAGGUUGGGGAACGUCAUAAUAUUGUGGGAGGAGUCAUUUGGUGGGUUUUGAGUGAAAUCCAAUCUCUAGACCUAUACAAUACACCAACCUCCUCAUUUUAGAACGCACUUCGUACGAAUCUGAAUUGUCCGAUUUGAAGGACCAAUUGAUAUCGGAUUGAGUCCAAAACUUGUGGAACAUCAUAAUCUUGUGGGAGGAGUCAUUUGGUGGUUUUGAGUGAAAUCCAAUCUCUAGAACUAUACAAUACACCAACCACCCCAUUUCAGAAUGAACUUCGUAGGAACCUGAAUUGUCCGAUUUCAAGGACCAAUCGAUAUCGGAUUGAGUCCAAAACUUGGGGAACAUCAUAAUAUUGUGGGAGGAGUCAUUUGGUAAGUUUUGAGUGAAAUACAAUCCCCAGAACCAUACAAUUCACUGCCCAUUCCAUUUAGAACGAAUUAGUAAAAACGUGAAUUGUCAAAUUUUGUGGACCGAUGGAUUCGGAUUGAGUCCAAAACUUGGGGAGCAUCAUAAUCUUGUGGGAGGAGUCAUUUGGGGGGUUUUGAGUGAAAUCCAUUCUCUAGAACUAUACAAUACACCAACCACCCCAUUUCAGAACGAACUUCGUACGAACCUGAAUUGUCCGAUUUGAAGGACCAAUCGAUAUCGGAUUGAGUGCAAAACUUGGGGAACACCAUAAUAUUGUGGGGGGAGUCAUUUGGUUCGUUUUGAGUGAAAUCCAAUCUCUAGAAUUAUACAAUACACCAACCACCCCAUUUAAAAAUGAACUUCGUAGGAACCUGAAUUGUCCGAUUUCAAGGACCAAUCGAUAUCGGACUGAGUCUAAAGGUUGGGGAACAUCAUAAUAUUGUGGGAGGAGUCAUUUGUUGGUUUUGAGUGAUAUCCAAUCUCUAAAACUAUACAAUACACCAACCACCCCACUUAUGAACGAACUUCGUACGAACCUGAAUUGUCCGAUUUCAAGUACCAAUCGAUAUCGGAUUGAGUCUGAAACUUGGGGAACAUCAUAAUAUUGUGGGAGGAAUCAUUUGGUGGGUUUUGACUGAAAUCCAAUCUCUAGACCUAUACAAUACACCAACCUCCUCAUUUCAGAACGAACUUCGUACGAACUUGAAUUGUCCGAUUUCAAGGACCAAUUGAUAUCGGAUUGAGUCCAAAACUUGGGGAACAUCAUAAUCUUGUGGGAGGAGAAAUUUGGUGGUUUUGAGUGAAAUCCAAUCUCUAGAACUAUACAAUACACCAACGACUCCAUUUCAGAACGAACUUCGUACGAACCUGAAUUGUCCGAUUUCAUUGACCAGUCGAUAACGGAUUGAGUCCAAAAGAUGGGGAACAUCAUAAUAUUGUGGGAGGAGUCAUUUGGUAUGUUUUGAGUGAAAUACAAUCCCUAGAACUAUACAAUACACCAACCACUCCAUUUCAGAAUGAACUUCGUACGAACCUGAAUUGUCAAAUUUCGUGGACCGAUCGAUAUCGGAUUGAGUCCAAAACUUGGGGAACAUCAUAAUAUUGUGGGAGGAGUCAUUUGGUGCGUUUUGAGUGAAAUCCAACCUCUAGAGCUAUACAAUGCACCAAUCACCCCAUUUCAGAACGAACUUCGUACGAACAUGAAUUGUCCGAUUUCAAGGACCAAUCGAUAUCGGAUUGAGUCCAAAAGUUGGGAAACAUCAUAAUAUUGUGGGAGGAGUCAUUUGGUGGGUUUUGGGUGAAAUCCAAUCUCUAGACCUAUACAAUACACCAACCUCCUCAUUUCAGAACGAACUUCGUACGAACCUGAAUUGUCCGAUUUCAAGGACCAAUCUAUAUCGGACAGAGUCCAAAAGUUGGGGAACGUCAUAAUAUUGUGGGAGGAAUCAUUUGGUAAGUUUUGAGUGAAAUACAAUCCCCAGAACCAUACAAUACACCAACCACCCCAUUUCAGAACGAACUUUGUACGAACCUGAAUUCUCCGAUUUCAAGGACCAAUCGAUAUUGGAUUGAGUCCAAAACUUGGGGAGCAACAUAAUCUUGUGGGAGGAGUAAUUUGGUGGGUUUUUAGUGAAAUCCAAUCUCUAGAACUAUACAAUACACCACCCACCCCAUUUCAGAACGAACUUCGUACGGACCUGAAUUGUCCGAUUUCAAGGACCAAUCGAUAUCGGAUUGAGUCCAAAACUUGGGGAACAUUAUAAUAUUGUGGGAGGAGUCACUUGGUGGGUUUUGAGUGAAAUCCAAUCUCUAGAACUAUACAAUACCCCAACCACCCCAUUUCAGAACGAACUUCGUAGGAACCUGAAUUGUCCGAUUUCAUGGACCAAUCGAUAUCGGAUUGAGUCCAAAACUUGGGGAAUAUCAUAAUAUUGUGGGAGGAGUCAUUUGGUGGGUUUUGAGUGAAAUCCAAUCUCUAGAACUGUACAAUACACCAACCACCCCAUUUCAGAACUAACUGCGUACGAACCGAAUUGUCCGAUUUCUAGGACCAAUCGAUAUCGGAUUGAGUCCAAAACUUGGGGAAUAUCAUAAUAUUGUGGGAGGAAUCAUUUGGUGGGUUUUGAGUGAAAUCCAAUCUCUAGAACUGUACAAUACACCAACCACCCCAUUUCAGAACGAACUUCGUACGAACCCGAAUUGGCCGAUUUCAAGGACCAAUCGAUAUCGGAUUGAGUCCAAACCUUGGGAACAUCAUAAUAUUGUGGGAGGGGUCAUUUGGUGGGUUUUGAGUGGAAUCCAAUCUCUAGAACUGUACAAUACACCAACCACCCCAUUUCAGAACGAACUUCGUACGGACCCGAGUUGUCCGAGUUCAAGGACCAAUCGAUAUCGGGAUUGAGUCCAAACCUUGGGAACAUUAUAAUAUUAUGGGAGGAGUCAUUUGGUGGGUUUUGAGUGAAAUGCAAUCUCUAGAACUAUACAAUACCCCAACCACCCCAUUUCAGAACGAACUUCGUAAGAACCUGAAUUGUCCGAUUUCAUGGACCAAUCGAUAUCGGAUUGAGUCCAAAACUUGGGGAAGAUCAUAGUAUUGUGGGAGGAGUCAUUUGGUGGGUUUUGAGUGAAAUCGAAUCUCUAGAACUAUACAACACACCAACCUCCCCAUUUCAGAACGAACUUCGUACGAACCUGAAUUGUCCGAUUUCAGGGACCAAUCGAUAUCGGAUUGAGGGGGGGAACUUGGGGAACAUCAUAAUAUUGUGGGAGGAGUCAUUUGGUGGGUUUUGAGUGAAAUCCAAUCUCUAGAAUUAUACAAUACACCAACCACCCCAUUUCAGAAUGAACUUUGUAGGAACCUGAAUUGUCCGAUUUCAAGGACCAAUCGAUAUCGGACUGAGUCCAAAACUUGGGGGAACAUCAUAAUAUUGUGGGAGGAGUCAUUUGGAAUGUUUUGAGUGAAAUACAAUCCCUAGAACUAUACAAUACACCAACCACUCCAUUUCAGAACGAACUUCGUACGAACCUGAAUUGUCAACUUUCGUGGACCGAUCGAUAUCGGAUUGAGUCCAAAACUUGGGGAACAUCAUAAUAUUUUGGGAGGAGUCAUUUGGUACAUUUUGAGUGAAAUCCAACCUCUAGAACUAUACAAUGCACCAACCACCCCAUUUCAGAACGAAUUUCGUAGGAAACUGAAUUGUCCGAUUUUAAGGACCAAUUGAUAUCGGAUUGAGUCCAAAACUUGGGGAACUGUCGUGGGAGGAGUCAUUUGGUGGGUUUUGAGUGAAAUCCAAUCUCUAGAACUAUACAAUACACCAAUCACCCCAUUUCAGAACGAACUUCGUACGAAUAUGAAUUGUCCGAUUUCAAGGACCAAUCGAUAUCGGACAGAGUCCAAAAGUUGGGGAACGUCAUAAUAUCGUGGGAGGAGUCAUUUGGUGGGUUUUGAGUGAACUCCAAUCUCUAGACCUAUACAAUACACCAACCUCCUCAUUUCAGAACGAACUUCGUUCGAACAUGAAUUGUCCGAUUUCAAGGACCAAUUGAUAUCGGACUUAGUCCAAAACUUGGGGAACAUCAUAAUCUUGUGGGAGGAGUCAUUUGGUGGUUUUGAGUGAAAUCCAAUCCCUAGAACUAUACAAUACACCAACCACCCCAUUUCAGAAUGAACUUUCGUAGGAACCUGAAUUGUCCGAUUUCAAGGACCAAUCGAUAUCGGACUGAGUCCAAAAGUUGUGGAACAUAAUAAUAUUGUGGCAGGAGUCAUUUGGUGGGUUUUGAGUGAAAUCCAAUCUUUAGAAUUAUACAAUACACCAACCACCCCAUUUCAGAAUGAACUUCGUAGGAACCUGAAUUGUCCGAUUUCAAGGACCAAUCUAUAUCGGACAGAGUCCGAAAGUUGGGGAACAUCAUAAUAUUGUGGGAGGAGUCAUUUGGUGGGUUUUGAGUGAAAUCCAAUCUCUAGACCUAUACAAUACACCAACCUCCUCAUUUCAGAACGAACUUCGUACGAACUUGAAUUGUCCGAUUUCAAGGACCAAUUGAUAUCGGAUUGAGUCCAAAACUUGGGGAACAACAUAAUCUUGUGGGAGGAGUCAUUUGGUGGGUUUUGAGUGAAAACCAAUCUCUAGAACUAGACAAUACACCAACCACCCCAUUUCAGAAUGAACUUUGUAGGAACCUGAAUUGUCCGAUUUCAAGGACCAAUCGAUAUCAGAUUGAGUCCAAAACUUCGGGAACAUCAUAAUAUUGUGGGACGAGUCAUUUGGUAAGUUUUGAGUGAAAUAGAAUCCAAAGAACCAUACAAUACACCACCCACUCCAUUUCAGAACGAACUUCGUACGAACCUGAAUUGUCAAAUUUCGUGGACCGAUCGAUAUCGGAUUGAGUCCAAAACUUGGGAAGCAUCGAAAUCUUGUGGGAGGAGACAUUUGGUGGGUUUUGAGUGAAAUCCAAUCUCUAGAACUAUACAAUACACCAACCACCCUAUUUCAGAACGAACUUCGUACGAACCUGAAUUGUUCGAUUUCGAGGACCAAUCGAUAUCGGAUUGAGUCCAAAACUUGGGGAACAUUAUAAUAUUGUGGGAGGAGUCAUUUGGUGGGUUUUGAGUGAAAUCCAAAAUCUAGAACAAUACAAUACCCCAACCACCCCAUUUCAGAACGAACUUUGUAGGAACCUGAAUUGUCCGAUUUCAAGGACCAAUCGAUAUCGGAUUGAGUUCAAAACUUGGGGAGGAUCAUAAUAUUGUGGGAGGAGUCAUUUGGUAAGUUUUGAGUGAAAUACAAUUCCCAGAACCAUACAAUACACCACCCACCCCAUUUAAGAAGGAACUUCGUACGAACCUGAAUUGUCAAAUUUCGUGGACCGAUCGAUAUCUGAUUGAGUCCAAAACUUGGGGAGCAACAUAAUCUUGUGGGAGGAGUCAUUUGGUGGGUUUUGAGUGAAAUUCAAUCUCUAGAGCUAUACAAUACACCAACCACCCCAUUUAAGAACGAACUUCGUACGAACCUGAAUUGUCCGAUUUCAAGGACCAAUCGAUAUCGGAUUGAGUCCAGAACUUGGGGAGUAACAUAAUCUUGUGGGAGGAGUCAUUUGGUGGGUUUUGAGUGAAAUCCAAUCUCUAGAACUAUACAAUACACCAACCACCCCAUUUCAAAACGAACUUCGUACGAACCUGAAUUGUCCGAUUUCAAGGACCAAUCGAUAUCGGAUUGAGUCCAAAACUUGGGGAACAUUAUAAUAUUGUGGGAGGAGUCAUUUGGUGGAUUUUGAGUGAAAUCCAAUCUCUAGAACUAUACAAUACCCCAACCACCCCAUUUCAGAAUGAACUUCGUAGGAACCUGAAUUGUCCGAUUUUAAGGACCAAUCGAUAUCGGCUUGAGUCCAAAACUUGGGGAACAUCAUAUUAUUGUGGGAGGAAUCAUUUGGUGGGUUUUGAGUGAAAUCCAAUUUCUAGAACUAUACAAUACACCAACCACCCCAUUUCAGAACGAACUUCGUACGAACCUGAAUUGUCCGAUUUCAAGGACCAAUCGAUAUCGGAUUGAGCCCAAAACUUGGGGAACAUCAUGUUGUGAUGGGAGGUGUCAUUUGGUAGGUUUUGAGUGAAAUCCAAUCUCUAGAACUAUGCAAUACGCCAACCACCCCAUGUCAGAACGAACUUCGUACGAACCUGAAUUGUACAAUUUCAAGGACCAAUCGAUAUCGGAUUGAGUCUAAAACUUGGGGAACAUCAUAAUAUGGUGGGAGGAGCCAUUUGGUUGGUUUUGAGUGAAAUCCAAUCUAUAAAACUAUGCAAUAUACCAACCACUCCAUUUCAAAACGAACUUCGUACGAACCUGAAUUGUCCAAUUUCAUGGACCAAUCAAUAUCGGAUUGAGCCCAAAACUUGGGGAACAUCAUGUUGUGAUGGGAGGUGUCAUUUGGUAGGUUUUGAGUGAAAUCCAAUCUCUAGAACUAUGCAAUACGCCAACUACUCCAUUUCAGAACGAACUUCGUACGAACCUGAAUUGUCCAAUUUCAUGGACCAAUUGAUAUCGGAUUGAGUCCAAAACUCGGGGAACAUUAUAAUAUGGCGGGAGUAGUCAUUUGGUUGGUUUUGAGUGAAAUCCAAUCUAUAAAACUGUGCAAUAUACCAACCACCCCAUUUCAGAACGAACUUCGCAUGAACAUGAAUUUUCCAAUUUCAUGGACCAAUCGAUAUUGGAUUGAGUCCAAAACUUGGGGAACAUCAAAACAUGGUGGAAGGAGUCAUUUGGUGAGUUCUGAGUGAAAUCCAAUAUCUAAAACUUUGCAACACGACAACCACUCCAUUUCUGAACGAACUUUGUACGAACCAGAAUUGUGCAAUUUCAUGGACCAAUUGAUAUCGGAUUGAGUCCAAAACUUGGGGAACAUCAUAAUAUGAUGGGAGCAGUCAUUUCAUGAGUUUUGAGUGAAAUCUAUUCUAUAAAACUAUGCAAUACACCAAGCACUGCAUUUCAGAACGAACUUCGUACGAACCUGAAUUGUCCAAUUUCGUGGACCAAUCGAUAUCGGAUUGAGUCCGAAACUUGGGGAACAUCAUAAUAUGGUGGGAGGAGUCAUUUCGUGUGUUUUGAGUGAAAUGCAAUCUCUAAGACUAUGCAAUACAACAACCACUCCAUUUCAGAACGAACUUCGUAUGAACCUGAGUUGUCAAAUUUCAUGGACCAAUCGAUAUCUUAUUGAGUCCAAAACUUGGGGAAUAUCAUAAUAUGGUCGGAGAAGUCAUUUCGUGAGUUUUGAGUGAAAUCUAAUCUCUAAAACUAUGCAAUACACCAACCACUCCAUUUCAGAACGAACUUCGUACGAACCUGAAUUGUGCAAUUUCAUGGACCAAUUGAUAUCAGAUUGAGUCCAAAACUUUGGGAACAUCAUAAUAUGGUGGGAGGAGUCAUUUUGUGAGUUUUGAGUGAAAUCCAAUCUCUAAAACUAUGCAAUACAACAACCACUGCAUUUCAGAACGAACUUUGUACGCACCUGAAUUGUCCAAUUUCAUAGACCAAUCGAUAUCAGAUUGAGUCCAAAACUUGGAAAACAUCAUAAUAUGGUGGGAGGAGUCAUAACGUGAGUUUUGAGUGAAAUCCAAUAUCUAAAACUAUGCAAAAGACAAACCACUCCAUUUCAGAACGAACUUCGUACGAACCUGAAUUGUCCAAUUUCGUGUACCAAUUGAUAUCGGGUUGAGUCCAAUACUUGGGGAACGUCAUAAUAUGGCGGGAGGAGUCAUUUGGUGAGUUUUGAGUGAAAUGCAAUCUCUAAAACUAUGCAAUACAACAACCACUCCAUUUCAGAACGAACUUCGUACGAACCUGAAUUGUCCAAUUUCCUGGACCAAUCGAUAUCGGAUUGAGUCCAAAACUUGGGGAACAUCAUAGUAUGGUGGGAGGUGUCAUUUGGUAGGUUUUGAGUGAAAUCCAAUCUCUAGAACAAUGCAAUACGCCAACCACUCUAUUUCAGAAUGAACUUCGUACAAACAUGAAUUACCCAAUUUCAGCAACCCAUCGAUAUGGGAUUGAGUCCAAAACUUGGGGAACAUCAGAAAAUGGUGGGAGGAGUCAUUUGGAGCUCUUUGAGUGAAUUCCAAUCUCUAAAACUAUGCAAUACACCAACCACUCCAUUUCAGAACGAACUUUGUACGAACCGGCAUUGUCCAAUUUCACGGACCAAUCAAUAUCGGAUUGAGUCUGAAACAUAGGGAACAUCAUAAUAUGGUGGGAGGAGCCAUUUGGUGCUCUUUGAGUGAAAUCCAAUGUGUAGAACUAGGCAAUACACCAACCACUCCAUUUCAGAAAGAACUUCGUACCAACCGGAAUUGUUCAAUUGGACAGACCAAUCGAUAUCGGAUUGAGUCCAAAACUUGGGAAACACCAUAGUAUGAUGGGAGGAGUCAUUUGGUAGGUUUUGAGUGAAAUCCAAUAUCUAAAACUAUGCAAAACACCAACCACCCCAUUUCAAAACGAACUAUGUAUGAACCUGAAUUGUCUAAUUUCAUGGAUCAAUCGAUGUUGGAUUGCGGCAAAAACUUGGGGAACAUCAUAAUAUGAUGGGAGGACUCAUUUGCUUAGUUUUGAGUGAAAUCCAAUGUCUAAAACUAUGCAACACACCAACCACUCCAUUUUAGAACGAACUUCGUACGAACCUGAAUUGUACAAUUUUUUGGACAAAUCGAUUUCGGAUUGAACCCAAAGCUUGGGGAACAUCAUAAGAUGGUGGGAGGGCUCAUUUGGUAGGUUUUGAGAGAAAUCCAAUAUCUAGAACUAUGCAAUAAAAUAACCACUCCAUUUCUUAAUGAACUUCGUACGAACCUGAAUUGUUCAAUUUCAUUGGCCAAUCGAUAUCGGAUUGAGUCCAAAACUUGGGGAACGUCAUAAUACGGUGGGAGGAGUCAUUUGGUUUGUUUUGAGUGAUAUCGAAUCUCUCUAGAACUGGGCAAUACACCAACAACUCCAUUUCAGAAUGAAAUUCGUACGAACCUGAAUUGUCCGAUUUCAUGGACCAAUCAAUAUGGGAUUCAGUACAAAACUUGGGGAAUAUCAUAAUAUGGUGGGGGGAGCCGUUUGGUUGGUUUUGAGAGAAAUCCAAUCUCUAGAACUGUGCAAUGCACCAACCAAUACAUUUCAGAACAAAAAUCGUACGAACCUGAAUUGUCCAAUAUCUUAGCCCAAUCCAUAUCGGAUUGAGCCUAAAACUUGGGCAACAUCAUAAUAUGGUGGGAGGAGUCAUUUGGUAGGUUUUGAGAGAAAUCCAAUCUCUAAAACAAUGCAAUACACCAACCACACCAUUUCAGAACAAAGUUCGUACGAACCUAAAUGCUCCAACUUCAUGGACCGAUCGAUAUAGGAUUGAGUCCAAAACUUGGGCAAGAUCAGCAUAUGGUGGGAGGAGUCAUUUGGUGAGUUUUGUGAGAAAUCCAAUCAAUAAAAUUACGCAAUACACCAACCACUCCAAUUACAUGGGCCAAUCGAUGUUAGAUUGUGUGCAAAACUUGGGGAACAUCGUACUAUGGUGGGAGGAGUCAUUUGGAAGGUUUUGAGUGAUUUCCAAUCUCUAGAACUAUGCAAUGAACCAAAAACUCCAUUUCGGAACGACCUUCGUAUGAACCUGAAUUGUCCAAUUUUUUGGAAAAAUAGAUAACGGAUUGAGCCUAGAACUUGGGGAACAUCAUAAUAUGGUGGGAGGAGUCAUUUGGUUUGUUUUCAGUGAAAUCCAAUCUCUAGAACUGUGUAAUACACCAACCACUCCAUUUCAGAAUGAACUUCAUACGAAACUGAAUUGCCCAAUUUCAUGGACCAAUCAAUAUCAGAUUGAGUCGAAAACAAGGGAAACAUCAUAAUAUGGUGGGAGGAGUCAUUUGGUGAGUUUUGUGAGAAAUCCAAUCAAUAAAAUUACGCAAUACACCAACCACUCCAAUUACAAGGACCAAUCGAUGUUAGAUUGUGUCCAAAACUUGGGGAACAUCAUAAUAUGGUGGGAGGAGUCAUUUGGAAGGUUUUGAGUGAUUUCCAAUCUCUAGAACUAUGCAAUGAACCAAAAACUCCAUUUCGGAACGACCUUCGUACGAACCUGAAUUGUCCAAUUUUUUGGAAAAAUAGAUAACGGAUUGAGCCCAGAACUUGGGGAACAUCAUAAUAUGGUGGGAGGAGUCAUUUGGUUUGUUUUCAGUGUAAUCCAAUCUCUAAACCUAUGCAAUACACCAACCACUCCAUUUCAGAACGAACCUCGUACGAACCUGAAUUGUCCAAAUUUUUUGGAAAAAUAGAUAACGGAUUGAGCCCAGAACUUGGGGAACAUCGUAAUAUGGUGGGAGGAGUCAUUUGGUUGGUUUUCAGUGAAAUUCAAUCUCUAGAACUGUGCAAUACACCAGCCACUCCAUUUCAUAAUGAACUUCGUACGAAACUGAAUUGUUCAAUUUCAUGGACCAAUCAAUAUCGGAUUGAGUCGAAAACAAGGGAAACAUGAUAAUAUGGUGGGAGGAGUCAUUUGGUGAGUUUUGUGAGAAAUCCAAUCAAUGAAAUUACGCAAUACACCAACCACUCCAAUUACAUGGACCAAUCGAUGUUAGAUUAUUUACAAAACUUGGGGAACAUCAUAAUAUGGUGGGAGGAGUCAUUUGGAAGGUUUUGAGUGAAUUCCAUUCUCUAAAACUAUGGAAUGAACCAACCACUCCAUUUCGGAAUGACCUUCGUACGAACCUGAAUUGUCCAAUUUCAUCGACUAAUCGAUAUGGGAUUCAGUCCAAAACUUGGGGAAUAUCAUAAUAUGGUGGGAGGAGUCAUUUGGUUGGUUUUGACUGAAAUCCAAUCUCUAGAACUGUGCAAUACACCAACGAGUCCAUUUCAGAAUGAACUUCGUAUGAAACUGAAUUGUCCAAUUUCAUGGACCAAUCAAUAUCGGAUUGAGUCGAAAACAAUGGAAACAUCAUAAUAUGCUGGGAUGAGUCAUUUGGUGUGAUGUCCAAUCUCUAGAACUAUGCUAUACACAUCCAUUUCAGAACGAUCUUCGUACGAACCUGAAUUGUGCAAUUUCAUGGACCAAUGGACAUCGGAUUGAGUCCAAAACUUGGGGAACAUCAUAAUAUGGUGGGUGGAGUCAUUUGGUGACUUUGGAGUGAGAUCCAAUCUCCAGAACUAUGCUAUACAUCAACCACUCCAAUUCAGAACGAACUUCGUACGAACCUGAAUUGCCCAAUUUCGUUUACCAAUCGAUAUCGGAUUGAACCCAAUUGAGAACGAACUUCGUACGAACCUGAAUUGUCCAAUUUCGUUUACCAAUCGAUAUCGGAUUGAACCCAAAACUUGGAGAACAUCAUAAGAUGCCGGGAGGGCUCAUUUGGUUGGUUUUGAGAGAUAUCCAAUCUCUGGAGCUACGCAAUAAAAUAACCACUCCAUUUCUUAAUGAACUUUGUACGAACCUGAAUUGUUCAAUUUCAUCGACCAAUCGAUAUCCGAUUGAGUCCAAAACUUUGGGAACAUCAUAACAUGGCGGGAGGAGUCAUUUCGUGAGUUUUGAGUGAAAUCUAAUCUCUAAAACUAUGCGAUACACCAACCACUCCGUUUCAGAACGAACUUCGUACGAACCUCAAUUGUCCAAUUUCAUGGACCAAUCGAUAUCGGAUUGAAUCCAAAACUUGGGGAACAUCAUAAUAUGGUGGGAGGAGUGAUUUCGUGCUCUUUGAGUGAAAUCCAAUAUCUAAAACAAUGUAAAACAGAAACCACUCCAUUUCAGAACGAACUUCGUUUGAACCUGAAUUGUCCAAUUUCGUGGACCAAUUGAUGUCGGAUUGAGUCCAAAACUUGGGGAACAUCAUAAUAUGGUGGGAGGAGUCAUUUCAUGAGUUUUGAGUGAAAUCCAAUCUCUAAAACUAUGCAAUACACCAACCACUCCAUUUCAGAACGAACUUCGUACGAACCUGAAUUGUCCAAUUUUAGGGACCAAUCGAUAUCGGAUUGAGCCCAAAACUUGGGGAACAUCAUAAUAUGGUGGGUGGAGUCAUUUGAUUGGUUUUGAGUGAAAUCCAAUCUAUAAAACUAUGCAAUACUCCAACCACUCCAUUUCAGAACGAACUUCGUACGAACCUGAAUUGUCCAAUUUUGUGGACCAAUCGGUAUCGGAUUGAGUCCAAAACUUGGAGAACAUCAUACUGUGGUGGGAGGUGUUAGUUGGUAGGUUUUGAGUCAAAUCCAAUCUCUAGAACUGUGCAAUACGCCAACCACUCCAUUUCAGAACGAGCUUCGUAUGAACAUGAAUUCUCCAAUUUCACGAACCAAUCGAUAUCGGAUUGAGACCAAAACUUGGGGAACAUCAUAGCAAGAUGGGAGGUGUCAUUUGGUAUGUUUUGAGUGAAAUUCAAUCCCUAGAACUAUGCAAUAAGCCAACCACUCCGUUUCAGAACGAACUUCGUACGAACCUCAAUUGUCCAAUUUCAUGGACCAUUCGAUAUCGGAUUGAAUCCAAAACUUGGGGAACAUCAUAAUAUGGUGGGAGGAGUCAUUUGGUGCUCUUUCAGUGAAAUCCAAUAUCUAAAACAAUGUAAAACACAAACCACUCCAUUUCAGAACAAACUUCGUACGAACUUGAAUUGUCCAAUUUCAUGGACCAAUCGAUAUCGGAUUGAAUCCAAAACUUGGGGAACAUCAUAAUAUGGUUGAAGGAGUCAUUUGGUGAGUUUUGAGUGAAAUCCAAUCUCUAAACCUAUGCAAUACACCAACCACUCCAUUUCAGAACGAACUUUGUAUGAACCUGAAUUGUCCAAUUUCAUGGACCAAUCGUUAUGGGAUUGAUUCCAAAACUUGGGGAACAUCAUAUUAUGGUGGGAGGAGUCAUUUGGUGGGUUUUGAGUGAAAUCCAAUCUCUUGCACUAUGCAAUACACCAACCACUUCAUUUAAGAACGAACCUCUUACAAACCUAAAUUGGCCAAUUUCGUGGACCUAUCGAUAUCGGAUUGAGUCCAAAACUUGAGGAACAUCAUAAUAUGGUGGGAGGAGUCAUUUGGUGGGUUUUGAGUGAAAUCCAAUCUCUACAACUAUGCAAUACACCAACAACUCCAUUUCAUAACGAACUUCGUAGGACCUGAAUUGUCCAAUUUCAUGGACAAAUCGAUAUCGGAUUCUGUCCAAAACUUGGGGAACGUCAUAAUAUGAUUGGUGGAGUCAUUUGGUGAGUUUUGACUGAAAUCCAAUGGCUAAAUGAUAAGGUCAUCAUUUCACACAUUUGCCUGCCUUCUUUGCUUAGUAAUUUUGUUUAGCUUCUCUUUAUUUGAGUCUCUUACCUAUGUUUGUGUGUUUGUAGGUUAAGACAGUAAGGGGAUGACAUUUGAUACAAUUCAUGCAUGUUAUGGGCUGAGUGGCACAAGAGGAAUAUGAGCUUAAAGACAAUCAAUUUGAGCCACACCCCUUGUCAGUCCAGUUUCGUAGGUCAUCUUGCAGGCCUCAUUUCAGCAACUUACACAGGUCGGAUGUGUAGACAUCCUUGAUAGAAGUUGUUCCAAUGGGUGUUUGUUAUAACAUAUCCAAAUUUCAGCCCAAUUGGAUAUAUCUGGAGCCCUCAGCACAUCAAAGACUGAACCAAGUCCACAGAAAUGUCAUGUUGGCUGCCAUCACAUUUAAUGUGGCUACAUCCCUAGAGCCAUGUGCUACACAUGGGAGUCAAAUCAGCUCAGAAACUCAGAAAGAUGAAUAAAAGUUAAGCGUUGCAUAAAGAAACCAUACCAAAGCAUGUAUUUGGCAGCUGGAGCAGUUGGGAGCAGCUAAGAGAGGUGUGCUUCACCAGCCAAAGGGGAGGACGAAAUUGCACUCUAUAAAUAGAGAGCUUCAAACUCAUUCAGAGCAGACACACACAUUCACUUCAUCCAUUACUCUCAUACACACAUUCAGAUUCACCACAAAGAGAGAAGGGAGCUUGGAGCUGUCCUGAGAACUUCCUUGCUGCCAUCAUCUAGUUCUUCUCCUCUCUUUAUCCUAUCUAUGUAGUUCAACUUUUCUGUAUUGAUAGUUAUGUCAAACUAAUCCAUUUAGUUAGGGCUUAGGAUGAAGCCCUAGUCAUGAAUAUUCAAUGUUAUGGAUGAUUUUAUAGUUAAUUGAUUUCCUUGCUUUUAUUAUCAAGUUGUUAAUCUACAGUUUAUUAUGUGCUUCAUGUAUGUUUUCUUGGAGUAGCUAACUAGGAUUUUAUGCAUCUAGCACAGGUUGGGAAGGGGUUUAGAUUCACCAAUUCUACUCUUCUUUCACAAGCAACACAUGAAUGGCCUAAGAAUCAUUCAAGGGUUUAGUGGGUUUUUAGUGAAAUCGAAUAUCUAAAACUCUGCAAUAGAUCAACCACUCCAUUUUAGAAUGAACUUCGUACAAACCUGAAUUGUCCAAUUUCAUGGACCAAUCGAUAUCAGAUUGAGUCCAAAACUUGGGGAACAAGAUAAUAUAGAGGGAGGAGUCAUUUGGGGGGUUUUGAGUGAAAUCGAAUCUCUCAAACUAUGUAAUACACCAACCACUCCAUUUCGGAACGAACUUCGUAUGAACCUGAAUUGUGCAAUUUCAUGGACCAAUCGAUAUCGGAUUGAGUCUAAAACUUGGGAAACAUCUGAGUAUGGUGGGAGGAGUCAUUUGGUAGGUUUUGAGUGAAAUCCAAUCUCCAGAACUAUGCAAUACACCAACCACUUAAUUUCAGAACGAACUUUGUACGAACCCGAAUUGUCCAAUUUCAUGGACCAAUCGAUAUCGGAUUGAGUCCAAAACUUGGGGAACAGCAUAAGAUGGUAGGAGUAGUCAUUUGGUGGGUUCUGCGUGAAAUCGAAUAUCUAAAACUAUGCAGUACACCAACCACUCCAUUUCAAAACGAACUUUGUAUAAACCUGAAUUGUCCAAUUUCAUGGACCAAUCGAUAUCGGAUUGAGUCCAAAACUUGGGGAACAUCAUAAUAUGGUGGGAGGAGUCAUUUGGUGAGUUUUGAGUGAAAUCCAAUCGCUAAACUAUGCAAUACACCAACCACUCCAUUUCAUAACGAACUUCGUACGAACUGAAUUGUUCAAUUUCAUGGACCAAUCGAUACAAGAUUCAGUCCAAAGCUUGGGGAACAUGAUAAUGUGGUGGGAGGAGUCAUUUGGUGGGUUUUGAGUGAAAUCGAAUAUCUAAAACUCUGCAAUAGAUCGACCACUCCAUUUUAGAAUGAACUUCGUACAAACCUGAAUUAUCCAAUUUCAUGGACCAAUCGAUAUCGGAUUGAGUCCAAACCUCGGGGAACAUCAUAAUAUGGUGGGAGGUGUCAUUUGGUGGGUUUUGAGCGAAAUCGAAAAUCUAAAACUACGCAACACACCAACCACUCCAUUUCGGAACGAUCUUCGUACGAACCUAAAUUGUCCAAUUUCAUGGACCAAUCGAUAUCGGAUUGAGCCCAAAACUUGGGAAACAUCAUAAUAUGGUAGGGGGUUUCAUUUGGGGGGUUUUAAGUGAAAUCGAAUCACUAAAACUAUGUAAUACACAUACCACUCAAUUUCGGAACGAACUUCGUAUGAACCUCAAUUGUCCAAUUUCAUGGACCAAUCGAUAUCGGAUUGAGUCCAAAACUUGGGGAACAGCAAAAUAUGUGGGAGUAGUCAUUUGGUGAUUUUUGAGUGAAAUCGAAUAUCUAAAACUACGCAAUACACCAAUCACCCCAUUUCAAAAUGAACUUCGUACGAACUUGAAUUGUCCAAUUUCAAGGACCAAUCGAUAUCGGAUUGAGUCCAACACUUGGGGAAAAUCAUAGUAUGGUGGGAGGAGUCAUUUGGUAGGUUUUGAGUGAAAUCCAAUCUCUAGAACUAUGCAAUACACCAACCAUUCCAUUUUAGAACGAAUUUCGUACGAACUUGAAUUGUCCAAUUUGAUGACCAAUCGAUAUCGGAUAGAGCCCAAAACUUAGAGAACUUUAUAAUGUGGUGGGAGCAGUCAUUUAGUGAGUUUUGAGUAAAAUCCAAUCCCUAAAACUAUGCAGCACACCAACCACUCAUUUCGGAACGAACUUCGUACGAACAUGAAUUGUCCAAUUUCAUGGACCAAUCGAUAUUGGAUUGAGCCCAAAACUUGGGGAAGAACAUAAUAUGGUUGCAUUAGUCAUUUGGUGGGUUUUGAGUGAAAUCGAAUCUCUAAAACUAUGCAAUACACCUACCCCUCCAUUUCGGAACGAACUUCGUAAGAACCUGAAUUGUCCAAUUUCAUGGACCAAUUGAUAUCGGAUUGAGUGGGGAACAUCAUAAUAUGGUGGGAGGAGUCAUUUUGGUGCUCUUUGAGUGAAAUCCAAUAUCUACAACUGUGCAAAACAUAAACCACUCCAUUUCUGAACGAACUUUGUACGAACCUGAAUUGUCCAAUUUCAUGGGCCAAUCGAUAUCAUAUUGAGUCAAAAACGUGGGGAACAUCAUAAUAUGGUGGGAUUAGUCAUUUGGUGGAUUUUGAGUGAAAUCGAAUAUCUAAAACUAUGCAACACACCAACCACUCCACUUCAGAAUGAACUUCAUACGAACCUGAAUUGUCCAAUUUCAUGGUCCAAUCAAUAUGGGAUUGAGUCCUAAACUUGGGAAACAUCUGAGUAUGGUGGGAGGAGUCAUUUGGUAGGUUGUAAUUGAAAUCCAAUCUCUAGAACUAUGCACUACACCAACCACUCCAUUUCAGAACGAACUUCGUACGAACCUAAAUUGUCCAAUUUCAUGAACCAAUCGAUAUCGGAUUGAUCCCAAAACUUGGGGAACAUUAUAUUACGGUAAGAGGAGUCUUUUGGUGAGUUUUGAGUGAAAUUCAGUCUCUAAAACUAUGCAACAGACCAACAACUCCAUUUUGGAACAAUCUUCGUACGAACCUGAAUUCAAUUUCAUGGACCAAUCGAUAUCGGAUUGAGCCCAAAACUUGGGGAACAUCAUAAUAUGGUGGGAGGUUUAAUUUGGGGGGGUUUUGAGUGAAAUCGAAUCACUAAAACAAUGUAAUACACCUACCACUCCAUUUCGGAACGAACUUCGUACGAACCUCAAUUGUCCAAUUCCAUGGACCAAUCGAUAUCGGAUUGGGUCCAAAACUUGGGGAACAGCAAAAUAUGGUGGGAGUAGUCAUUUGGUGGUUUUGAAGUGAAAUCGAAUAUCUAAAACUACGCAAUACACCAACCACCCCAUUUCAAAAUGAACUUCGUACGAACCUGAAUUGUCCAAUUUCAAGGACCAAUCGAUAUCGGAUUGAGUCCAAAACUUGGAGAAAAUCAUAGUAUGGUGGGAUGAGUCAUUUGGUAGGUUUUGAGUGAAAUCCAAUCUCCAGAACUAUGCAAUACACCAACCAUUCCAUUUUAGAACGAACUCCGUACGAACCUGAAUUGUCCAAUUUGAUGGACCAAUCGAUAUCGGAUAGAGCCCGAAAAUUAGGAAACUUUAUAAUGUGGUGGAAGGAGUCAUUUGGUGAGUUUUGAGUGAAAUCCAAUCUCUAAAACUAUGCAACACACCAACCACCCAUUUCGGAACGAACUUCGUACGAACCUGAAUUAUCCAAUUUGAUGGACCAAUCGAUAUCGGAUUGAGCCCAAAACUUGGGGAACAACAAAAUAUGGUUGGAGGAGUCAUUUGGUGGGUUUUGAGUGAAAUCGAAUCUCUAAAACUAUGCAAUACACCUACCCCUCCAUUUCGGAACAAACUUCGUACGAACCUAAAUUGUCCAAUUUCAUGGACCAAUCGAUAUCAUAUUGAGUCAAAAACGUGGGGAACAUCAUAAUAUGGUGGGAUUAGUCAUUUGGUGGGUUUUGAGUGAAAUCGAAUAUCUAAAACUACGCAAUACACCAACCACUCCAUUUCAAAACGAACUUCGUACGAACUUGACUUGUCCAAUUUCAUGGACCAAUCGAUAUUGGAUUGAGUCAAAAACGUGGGGAACAUCAUAAUAUGGUGGGGUUUGUCAUUUGGUGGGUUUUGAGUGAAAUAGAAUAUUUAAAACUACGCAAUACACCAACCACUCAAUUUCAGAACGAACUUCGAAAGAACCUGAAUUGUCCAAUUUCAUGGACCAAUCGUUAUCAGAUUGAGCCCAAAACUUGGGGAACAUCAUAAGAUGGUGGGAGGUGUCAUUUGGUUGGUUUUGAGUGAAGUCAAAAAUCUAAAACUAUACAACACACCGACCACUACAUUUCGGAACGAACAUCGUACGAACCUGAAUUGUCUAAUUUCAUGGACCAAUUGAUAUCGGAUUGAGUCCAAAACUUGGGGAACAACAUAAUACGAUGGGAGUAGUCAUUUGGUUGGUUUUGAGUGAAAUCGAAUAUCUAAAACUACGCAAUACACCAACCACUCCAUUUGAGAACGAACUUCGUACGAACCUGAAUUGUCCAAUUUCAUGGACCAAUCGAUAUCGGAUUGAGCCCAAAACAUAGGGAACAUUAUGAUAUGGUGGGAGGACUCAUUUGGUGAGUUUUGUGUGAAAUCCAAUCUCUAAAACUAUGCAACACACCGACCCCUCCAUUUCGGAACGAACUUCGUAAAAACUUGAAUUGUCCAAUUUCAUGGACCAAUCGAUAUCGGAUUGAGUCCAAAAGUUGGGGAAUAUCAUAAUUUGGUGGGAGGAGACAUUUGGUGAUCUUUGAGUGAAAUCCGAUAUCUAAAACUAGGCAAUACACAAACCACUCCAUUUCAAAGAGAACUUCGUACGAACCUGAAUUGUCCGAUUUCAAGGACCAAUCGAUAUAGGAUUGAGUCCAAAACUUGGGGAACAUCAUAAUAUUGUGGGAGGAGUCAUUUGGUGGGUUUUGAGUGAAAUACAAUUCCUAGAACACCAACCACUCCAUUUCAGAUCGAACUUCGUACGAACUUGAAUUGUCCGAUUUCAUUGACCAAUCGAUAUCGGAUUGAGUCCAAAACUUGAGGAACAACAUAAUAUUGUGGGAGGAGGCAUUUGGCAAGUUUUGAGUGAAAUACAAUCCCUAGAACUAUACAAUACACCAACCACUCCAUUUCAGAACAAACUCCGUACGAACCUGAAUUGUCAAAUUUCGUGGACCGUUCGAUAUCGGAUCGAGUCCAGAACUUGGGGAACAUCAUAAUAUUGUGGGAGGAGUCAUUUGGUGGGUUUUGAGUGAAAUCCAACCUCUAGAACUAUACAAUCCACCAACCACCCCAUUUCAGAAUGAACUUCGUUCGAACCUGAAUUGUCCGAUUUCAAGGACCAAUCAAUAUCGGAUUGAGUCCAAAACUUGGGGAACAUCAUAAUAAUGUGGGAGGAGUCAUUUGGUGGGUUUUGAGUGAAAUACAAUCCCUAGAACACCAACCACUCCGUUUCAGAUCGAACUUCAUACGAACUUGAAUUGCCCGAUUUCAUUGACCAAUCGAUAUCGGAUUGAGUCCAAAACUUGGGGAACAACAUAAUAUUGUGGGAGGAGGCAUUUGGUGGGUUUUGAGUGAAAUACAAUCCCUAGAACUAUACAAUACACCAACCACUCCAUUUUAGAACGAACUUCGUACGAACUUGAAUUGUCAAAUUUCGUGGAUCGAUCGAUGUCGGAUUGAGUCCAAAACUUGGGGAACAUCAACAUAUUGUGGGAGGAGCCAUUUGGUAAGUUUUGAGUGAAAUCCAAUCUCUAGAACUAUACAAUACACCAACCACUCCAUUUCAGAACGAACUUCGUACGAACCUGAAUUGUCCGAUUUCAAGGACCAAUCGAUAUCGGAUUGAGUCCAAAACUUGGGGAACAUCAUAAUAUUGUGGGAGGAGUCAUUUGGUGGGUUUUGAGCGAAAUCCAACCUCUAGAACUAUACAAUACACCAACCACCCCAUUUAUGAACGAACUUCGUAGGAACCUGAAUUGUCCGAUUUCAAGGACCAAUCGGUAUCGCAUUGAGUCCAAAACUUUGGGAACAUCAUAAUAUUGUGGGAGGAGUCAUUUGGUGGGUUUUGAGUGAAAUCCAAUUUCUAGAACUAUACAACACACCAACCACUCCAUUUCGGAACGAACUUCGUACGAACCUGAAUUGUCCGAUUUCAAGCACCAAUCGAUAUCGGAUUGAGUCCAAAACUUAGAGAACAUCAUAACAUUGGGGGAGGAGUCAUUUGGUGGGUUUUGAGUGAAAUACAAUCCCCAGAACUAUACAAUACACCAACCACUCCAUUUCAGAACGAACUUCGUACGAACCUGAAUUGUCAAAUUUCGUGGACUGAUUGGUAUCGGAUUCGGUCCAAAACUUGGGGAACAUCAUAAUAGUGUGGGAGGAGUCAUUUGGAGAGUUUUGAAUGAAAUCCAAUCCCUAGAACUAUACAAUACACCAACCACCCCAUUUCAGAACAAACUUCGUACGAACCUGAAUUAUCAAAUUUCGUGGACCGAUCGAUAUCGGAUUGAGUCCAAAACUGGGGCAACAUCAUAAUAUUGUGGGAGGAGUCAUUUGGAGGGUUUUGAGUGAAAUACAGUCCCCAGAACACCAACCACUCCAUUUCAGAACGAACUUCGUACGAACUUGAAUUGCCCGAUUUCAUUGACCAAUCGAUAUUGGUACGAGUCCAAAACUUAGGGAACAACAUAAUAUUGUGGGAGGAGGCAUUUGGUGGGUUUUGAGUGAAAUACAAUCCCUAGAACUAUACAAUACACCAACCACACCAUUUCAGAACGAACUUCGUAUGAAUCUGAAUUGUCAAAUUUCGUGGAUCGAUCGAUAUAGGAUUGAGUCCAAAAAUUGGGGAACAACAUAAUAUUGUGGGAGGAGUCAUUUGGUGGGUUUUGAGUGAAAUCCAAUCUCUAGAACUAUACAAUACACCAACCACCCCAUUUCAGAACGAACUUCGUACGAACCUGAAUUGUCCGAUUUCAAGGACCAAUCGAUAUCGGAUUGAGUCCAAAACUUGGGGACCAUCAUAAUAUUGAGGGAGGAGUCAUUUGGUGGGUUUUGAGUGAAAUCCAAUCUCUAGAACUAUACAAUACACUAACCACCCCAUUUCAGAACGAACUUCGUACGAACCUGAAUUGUCCGAUUUCAAGGACCAAUCGAUAUCGGAUUGAGUCCAAAACUUGGGGAACAUCAUAAUAUUGUGGGAGGAGUCAUUUGGUGGGUUUUGAGUGAAAUCCAAUCUUUAGAACUACACAAUACACCAACCACCCCAUUUAUGAACGAACUUCGUACGAACAUGAAUUGACCGAUUUCAAGGGCCAAUCGAUAUCGGAUUGAGUCCAAAACUUGGGGAACAUCAAAAUAUUAUGGAAGGAGUCAUUUGGUGGGUUUUGAAUGAAAUCCAAUCUGUAGAACUACACAAUACACCAACCACCCCAUUUGUGAACAAACUUCAUACGAACCUGAAUUGUCCGAUUUCAAGGACCAAUCGAAAUCGGAUUGAGUCCAAAACUUGGGGAACAUCAUAAUAUUAUGGGUGGAGUCAUUUGGUGGGUUUUGAGUGAAAUCCAAUCUCUAGAACUAUACAAUACACCAACCACCCCAUUUCAGAACGAACUUCGUAUAAACCUGAAUUGUCCGAUUUCAAGGACCAAUCGAUAUUGGAUUGAGUCCAAAACUUGGGGAACAUCAUAAUGUUGUGGGAGGAGUCAUUUGGUGGGUUGUGAGUUAAAUACAAUCCCUAGAACUAUACAAUACACCAACCACUCCAUUUCAGAACGAACUACGUACGAACCUGAAUUGUCAAAUUUCGUGGACCGAUCGAUAUCGAAUUGAGUCCAAAACUUGGGGAACAAAAUAAUAUUGUGGGAGGAGUCAUUUGGUGGGAUUUGAGUGAAAUCCAAUCUCUAGAACUAUACAAUAUAC
rnacentral:lncRNA from 1 species